GGGCACUUGGUCUAGGGGUAUGAUUUUCGCUUCGCAUAGAUCAAAUAUGAGAUUGUGAAAGGUCGUGGGUUCAAUUCCCACAGUGUCCA